rnacentral:rRNA from 4 species
UAAAAGGUGCCUGUACCGCAAACCGACACAGGUAGGCGAGGAGAGAAUCCUAAGGUGUGCGAGAGAACUCUGGUUAAGGAACUCGGCAAAAUGACCCCGUAACUUCGGGAGAAGGGGUGCUUUCUUAACGGAAAGCCGCAGUGAAUAGGCCCAAGCGACUGUUUAGCAAAAACACAGCUCUCUGCGAAGCCGUAAGGCGAAGUAUAGGGGGUGACACCUGCCCGGUGCUGGAAGGUUAAGGAGAGGGGUUAGCGUAAGCGAAGCUCUGAACUGAAGCCCCAGUAAACGGCGGCCGUAACUAUAACGGUCCUAAGGUAGCGAAAUUCCUUGUCGGGUAAGUUCCGACCCGCACGAAAGGUGUAACGAUUUGGGCACUGUCUCAACCAGAGACUCGGUGAAAUUAUAGUACCUGUGAAGAUGCAGGUUACCCGCGACAGGACGGAAAGACCCCGUGGAGCUUUACUGUAGCCUGAUAUUGAAUUUUGGUACAGUUUGUACAGGAUAGGCGGGAGCCAUUGAAACCGGAGCGCUAGCUUCGGUGGAGGCGCUGGUGGGAUACCGCCCUGACUGUAUUGAAAUUCUAACCUACGGGUCUUAUCGACCCGGGAGACAGUGUCAGGUGGGCAGUUUGACUGGGGCGGUCGCCUCCUAAAGUGUAACGGAGGCGCCCAAAGGUUCCCUCAGAAUGGUUGGAAAUCAUUCGUAGAGUGCAAAGGCAUAAGGGAGCUUGACUGCGAGACCUACAAGUCGAGCAGGGACGAAAGUCGGGCUUAGUGAUCCGGUGGUUCCGCAUGGAAGGGCCAUCGCUCAACGGAUAAAAGCUACCCCGGGGAUAACAGGCUUAUCUCCCCCAAGAGUCCACAUCGACGGGGAGGUUUGGCACCUCGAUGUCGGCUCAUCGCAUCCUGGGGCUGUAGUCGGUCCCAAGGGUUGGGCUGUUCGCCCAUUAAAGCGGUACGCGAGCUGGGUUCAGAACGUCGUGAGACAGUUCGGUCCCUAUCCGUCGUGGGCGUAGGAAAUUUGAGAGGAGCUGUCCUUAGUACGAGAGGACCGGGAUGGACGCACCGCUGGUGUACCAGUUGUUCUGCCAAGGGCAUAGCUGGGUAGCUAUGUGCGGAAGGGAUAAGUGCUGAAAGCAUCUAAGCAUGAAGCCCCCCUCAAGAUGAGAUUUCCCAUAGCGUAAGCUAGUAAGAUCCCUGAAAGAUGAUCAGGUUGAUAGGUUCGAGGUGGAAGCAUGGUGACAUGUGGAGCUGACGAAUACUAAUAGAUCGAGGACUUAACCAUAUAA